UAGGGAAUUUUCGGCAAUGGGGGAAACCCUGACCGAGCAACGCCGCGUGAAGGAAGAAGUAAUUCGUUAUGUAAACUUCUGUCAUAGAGGAAGAACGGUGGAUAUAGGGAAUGAUAUCCAAGUGACGGUACUCUAUAAGAAAGCCACGGCUAACUACGUGCCAGCAGCCGCGGUAAUACGUAGGUGGCGAGCGUUAUCCGGAAUUAUUGGGCGUAAAGAGGGAGCAGGCGGCACUAAGGGUCUGUGGUGAAAGAUCGAAGCUUAACUUCGGUAAGCCAUGGAAACCGUAGAGCUAGAGUGUGUGAGAGGAUCGUGGAAUUCCAUGUGUAGCGGUGAAAUGCGUAGAUAUAUGGAGGAACACCAGUGGCGAAGGCGACGAUCUGGCGCAUAACUGACGCUCAGUCCCGAAAGCGUGGGGAGCAAAUAGG
rnacentral:rRNA from 3 species